rnacentral:lncRNA from 1 species
UCACUGUGGGGCUGAGGCUGAGACACCUCCCUGAUGUGGACAUCCUGAAAUCUUGGCCAUGCCUUUGGGAGACCAUUGCAAAUCUAAUAAAUGUCAGAAGUAUUACUGGGUGCCCAGGCCAGUGGAGAUGUAGAAAGAACCCACUAGACAUAACACAACCUACUCCACUUCUUCCUUUCAAACCUGGCACACAGAGAAGUUACUGUCCAACCUGGGAUGGACUAUGUGUGUGGUCACCAGAUGUGUCCUUGCAGUGGACAGUGCGACAACUAGAGUGACCAGGUCAUUCCUAUUUCAACAGUAGCAGACCAUAAACACACAGGGUAAGGUAUAUCUUCUCUAAAAUUAAGCACCUAAAAACAUGUAAUAAAAACAAUGCAGUUGGUUUUGACACAGAGCCAGGAAUUUUAGCAAUGAUGCCCUACAAGGUUUCAUUUUGGUAUCACCA